rnacentral:lncRNA from 1 species
CCUUUCCCGGCAUUUCAACAAAAACCUCUCUUCCCGCUGUCACCACCCGCUGUCACCACCGUUGCUGCGUCCGCUGGUGGUGGCUACUUCUUCUAUUUUCGCCAUCACUCCCUCUGAUCGUCGUCGUUGCUUCCGUCAGUCUAGUCCGUCUCCCUCUCAUCGGCGCAUCCGCUGGUCCCGUUCUUCUACUGUCAGGUGCUGUCCCUCGUCGUCAAGCAAGCCUCUGCUGAUUUUCGCGUCAUCCGCUGGUCCAAUCACUGCAGGUUUGAAUUAAUUUUGAAGACCCAUAAACUUGAUUAUUUGUGGACACUGUUAUUGCAAACUUGAAAUUGUUCCUGUUUGCUGUUUGUGGACACUGUUUGCUGUUAUUGCAAACUGAUUAUUUCACUGUUAUUGUUGUUUACUGUUUUCAUUGUUCCUCAUCCUUUAGUCACUGUUAUUGCAAACUUGAUUAUUUGUGGACACUGUGUGCAAAGAUUUUGCUGCUGGAAGUGAGCAGAAGCAGAUAGAAACCUUGAGCUGGUGUGUGCAAAGAGACUUAUGUGAACAGAGGAUUUAUGCCGGGAAAUUGAUAGAAAAUGAGAAAUGAAAAUAUAUCUUCUUCUUCAUUUUGUAAUUUAAAUAAUGAACUUGCAAUCUUUCUUUUGUCUGUUAAUAUUUAAAUCUUUUGUUAUGGCAUUGUUCAAGCCCAAAUCCAACUCUUCCUCU